AGAGUUUGAUUAUGGCUCAGGACGAACGCUGGCGGCGUGCUUAACACAUGCAAGUCGAGCGAUGAAGCUCUUCGGAAGUGGAUUAGCGGCGGACGGGUGAGUAACACGUGGGUAACCUGCCUCAUAGAGGGGAAUAGCCUUCCGAAAGGAAGAUUAAUACCGCAUAAGAUUGUAAUAUCGCAUGAUAUAGCAAUUAAAGGAGUAAUCCGCUAUGAGAUGGACCCGCGUCGCAUUAGCUAGUUGGUGAGGUAACGGCUCACCAAGGCGACGAUGCGUAGCCGACCUGAGAGGGUGAUCGGCCACAUUGGGACUGAGGCACGGCCCAGACUCCUACGGGAGGCAGCAGUGGGGAAUAUUGCACAAUGGGGGAAACCCUGAUGCAGCCAACGCCGCGUGAGUGAUGACGGUCUUCGGAUUGUAAAGCUCUGUCUUCAGGGACGAUAAUGACGGUACCUGAGGAGGAAGCCACGGCUAACUACGUGCCAGCCGCAGC
rnacentral:rRNA from 1 species